AUGCCGCGUAGACCUGGCAUAUCCAAACACAUAGUGACGGUCUGCUGGGAAUGCCUGGCAGAAGAACCUGUCAAGACGGUCUUCAACUCCCACCUCCGGCAUAGCUUUGACCGCAUCCCAAGAGCAGUGGGGGACAUUGACUCCGAGUGGGCCUUGUUCCACUCUGCGAUUGUUGAGGCGGCUGUUGCUAGCUGUGGUCGCAAGGUGGCCGGUGCCAGUCGUGGUGGCAACCCCCGUACCCGCUGGUGGACACCAGAGGUUCGGGGAACUGUCAGGCUGAAUAAGGAGGCCUACAGGGUGUGGCUGGUCUGUGGGUCUCCGGAGGAAGCAGACAGGUACCGGAUAGCCAAGCGGGGUGCAGCAGUGGCAGUUGCAGAGGCAAAAUCUUGGGCGUGGGAGGAGUUUGGUGAGGCCAUGGAGAAAGACUAUCGAUCGGCUCCAAAGAGGUUCUGGCAAACUGUCUGGCGCCUCAGGAGAGGAAGGCUGCAACUCGCUCACACUGUUUACAGUGGGGAUGGGGAGCAGCUGACAUCAACUGGGACUAUAGUCGGACGGUGGAAGGAAUACUUUGAUGAGCUCCUCAAUCCCACUGAGGAGGAACCAGAGCCAGGAGACCUGGAGAUGGACUGUCCAAUCUCGGGGGCAGAAGUUGCUGAGGUAGUCAAACAACUACACAGCAGCAGAGCCCCGGGUGCGGAUGAGAAUUGUCCUGGGUAUCUCAAGGCAAUAGGGCUAUUGUGGUUAACACAUCUCUGCAACAUUGCAUGGUCAUCGGGGGCAGUUCCUGUGGAGUGGCAGACCGGGGUGGUGGUCUCCAUCUUUAAGAAGGGUGACUGGAGGUUGUGUUCCAAUUAUAGGGGGAUCACACUCCUCAGCCUCCCUGGAAAGGUCUACUCCAAGGUACUGGAGAGAAGGGUCCGAUCAACAGUUGAAUCUCAGAUUGAGGAGGAACAAUGUGGUUUUCAUCCUGGCCGUGGAACUGUGGAUCAACUCUAUACCCUUGCAAGGGUGAUGGAGGGGGCAUGGGAGUUUGCCCAACCAAUCCACAUGUUUUGUGGAUUUGGAGAAGGCUUAUGA
rnacentral:lncRNA from 1 species